rnacentral:rRNA from 1 species
UGGGGAAUAUUGGACAAUGGGGGAAACCCUGAUCCAGCGACGCCGCGUGAGUGAAGAAGUAUUUCGGUAUGUAAAGCUCUAUCAGCAAGGAAGAAAAUGACGGUACUUGACUAAGAAGCCCCGGCUAACUACGUGCCAGCAGCCGCGGUAAUACGUAGGGGGCAAGCGUUAUCCGGAUUUACUGGGUGUAAAGGGAGCGUAGACGGUUAGGUAAGUCUGAUGUGAAAGCCCGGGGCUCAACCCCGGGAUUGCAUUGGAAACUAUUUAACUAGAGUGCAGGAGAGGUAAGUGGAAUUCCUAGUGUAGCGGUGAAAUGCGUAGAUAUUAGGAGGAACACCAGUGGCGAAGGC